rnacentral:lncRNA from 1 species
UGAUGAAUUCGGAUGUAACGUGCCGCUGGAAACAAAAAAUGAAAGGAACAUAGUCCUAAAUCAGAGAGGAAGAACAAUGAGGGCAGAGAUCAAAGUUGCUGCCUCCAGAGAGCAAAUGAUAGCAGCCUCUAAAAUGUGGAACAAAUAAGCAGAUUCUUCCCCGAAGCUUUCAUAUGGAACCAGUCCUGCUAGCACUUUGGAUUUAGAAUUUAAGUUAUUCUCAUAUUGCAGGAUAACAACGUAUUAAGGGAUAAUCCUUCUGGUCAAAAAAUUAAAAUACCUGGCCUGUAUAGAUGACUAAUAUUCCAGUUGGACAAGAUCAAUCACCUGGCCAAAAGACCGCCUCUAGAAAGGUAGGCUCACAUAACAUACAGGGACCAGAAGAGAGAUUCAGAUCUCUUCAGUUUGGGAGUUACAUUAUGUGGAGUGUUAGCAUUAUGUGGAGUUGGAAUUGAAGCCUAGUGUUCUAGAAGUACACAGUUGUGCCAACCUGAAGGCUCAGAGGUUCCUUUACCUGCCCAAUCUGGAGUGAAGAUCGGAGUAGUGACUAACACUGAAAAUUCUUCUGGAGGACAGGGAGAGAUUAACUAUUUAGAUGUAAAAGGCUUUACACGGAUGAUUUAGAAAUCAUUUAGAAGUAGAUGGAGGAUUUAUAUGUAGAAUAAAAACAAAUCUGAAAAGUUGGUCAGAAGACAGGAAGUAGGGAAAUCAUUAUUGAGAAUUAUCAUCAAAUG